rnacentral:rRNA from 1 species
AACGAACGCUGGCGGCAUGCCUAACACAUGCAAGUCGAACGAGAUCUUCGGGUCUAGUGGCGCACGGGUGCGUAACGCGUGGGAAUCUGCCCUUCGGUUGGGAAUAACUGAGAGAAAUUUCAGCUAAUACCUUAUAAUGUCUUCGGACCAAAGAUUUAUCGCCGAGGGAUGAGCCCGCGUAGGAUUAGGUAGUUGGUGGGGUAAUGGCCUACCAAGCCGACGAUCCUUAGCUGGUCUGAGAGGAUGAUCAGCCACACUGGGACUGAGACACGGCCCAGACUCCUACGGGAGGCAGCAGUGGGGAAUAUUGGACAAUGGGCGAAAGCCUGAUCCAGCAAUGCCGCGUGAGUGAUGAAGGCCUUAGGGUUGUAAAGCUCUUUUACCCGGGAUGAUAAUGACAGUACCGGGAGAAUAAGCGCCGGCUAACUCCGUG